AGCGUACACGGUGGAUGCCCUGGCAGUCAGAGGCGAUGAAGGACGUGCUAAUCUGCGAUAAGCGUCGGUGAGGUGAUAUGAACCGUUAUAACCGGCGAUUUCCGAAUGGGGAAACCCAGUGUGUUUCGUCACACUAUCAUUAACUGAAUCCAUAGGUUAAUGAGGCGAACCGGGGGAACUGAAACAUCUAAGUACCCCGAGGAAAAGAAAUCAACCGAGAUUCCCCCAGUAGCGGCGAGCGAACGGGGAGGAGCCCAGAGCCUGAAUCAGUGUGUGUGUUAGUGGAAGCGUCUGGAAAGGCGCGCGAUACAGGGUGACAGCCCCGUACACAAAAAUGCACAUACUGUGAGCUCGAUGAGUAGGGCGGGACACGUGGUAUCCUGUCUGAAUAUGGGGGGACCAUCCUCCAAGGCUAAAUACUCCUGACUGACCGAUAGUGAACCAGUACCGUGAGGGAAAGGCGAAAAGAACCCCGGCGAGGGGAGUGAAAAAGAACCUGAAACCGUGUACGUACAAGCAGUGGGAGCCUCUUAAUGGGGUGACUGCGUACCUUUUGUAUAAUGGGUCAGCGACUUAUAUUCUGUAGCAAGGUUAACCGAAUAGGGGAGCCGAAGGGAAACCGAGUCUUAACUGGGCGUUAAGUUGCAGGGUAUAGACCCGAAACCCGGUGAUCUAGCCAUGGGCAGGUUGAAGGUUGGGUAACACUAACUGGAGGACCGAACCGACUAAUGUUGAAAAAUUAGCGGAUGACUUGUGGCUGGGGGUGAAAGGCCAAUCAAACCGGGAGAUAGCUGGUUCUCCCCGAAAGCUAUUUAGGUAGCGCCUCGUGAAUUCAUCUCCGGGGGUAGAGCACUGUUUCGGCAAGGGGGUCAUCCCGACUUACCAACCCGAUGCAAACUGCGAAUACCGGAGAAUGUUAUCACGGGAGACACACGGCGGGUGCUAACGUCCGUCGUGAAGAGGGAAACAACCCAGACCGCCAGCUAAGGUCCCAAAGUCAUGGUUAAGUGGGAAACGAUGUGGGAAGGCCCAGACAGCCAGGAUGUUGGCUUAGAAGCAGCCAUCAUUUAAAGAAAGCGUAAUAGCUCACUGGUCGAGUCGGCCUGCGCGGAAGAUGUAACGGGGCUAAACCAUGCACCGAAGCUGCGGCAGCGACACUAUGUGUUGUUGGGUAGGGGAGCGUUCUGUAAGCCUGUGAAGGUGUACUGUGAGGUAUGCUGGAGGUAUCAGAAGUGCGAAUGCUGACAUAAGUAACGAUAAAGCGGGUGAAAAGCCCGCUCGCCGGAAGACCAAGGGUUCCUGUCCAACGUUAAUCGGGGCAGGGUGAGUCGACCCCUAAGGCGAGGCCGAAAGGCGUAGUCGAUGGGAAACAGGUUAAUAUUCCUGUACUUGGUGUUACUGCGAAGGGGGGACGGAGAAGGCUAUGUUGGCCGGGCGACGGUUGUCCCGGUUUAAGCGUGUAGGCUGGUUUUCCAGGCAAAUCCGGAAAAUCAAGGCUGAGGCGUGAUGACGAGGCACUACGGUGCUGAAGCGACAAAUGCCCUGCUUCCAGGAAAAGCCUCUAAGCAUCAGGUAACAUUAAAUCGUACCCCAAACCGACACAGGUGGUCAGGUAGAGAAUACCAAGGCGCUUGAGAGAACUCGGGUGAAGGAACUAGGCAAAAUGGUGCCGUAACUUCGGGAGAAGGCACGCUGAUAUGUAGGUGAAGCGACUUGCUCGUGGAGCUGAAAUCAGUCGAAGAUACCAGCUGGCUGCAACUGUUUAUUAAAAACACAGCACUGUGCAAACACGAAAGUGGACGUAUACGGUGUGACGCCUGCCCGGUGCCGGAAGGUUAAUUGAUGGGGUUAGCGGCAACGCGAAGCUCUUGAUCGAAGCCCCGGUAAACGGCGGCCGUAACUAUAACGGUCCUAAGGUAGCGAAAUUCCUUGUCGGGUAAGUUCCGACCUGCACGAAUGGCGUAAUGAUGGCCAGGCUGUCUCCACCCGAGACUCAGUGAAAUUGAACUCGCUGUGAAGAUGCAGUGUACCCGCGGCAAGACGGAAAGACCCCGUGAACCUUUACUAUAGCUUGACACUGAACAUUGAGCCUUGAUGUGUAGGAUAGGUGGGAGGCUUUGAAGUGUGGACGCCAGUCUGCAUGGAGCCGACCUUGAAAUACCACCCUUUAAUGUUUGAUGUUCUAACGUGGGCCCGUAAUCCGGGUUGCGGACAGUGUCUGGUGGGUAGUUUGACUGGGGCGGUCUCCUCCUAAAGAGUAACGGAGGAGCACGAAGGUUGGCUAAUCCUGGUCGGACAUCAGGAGGUUAGUGCAAUGGCAUAAGCCAGCUUGACUGCGAGCGUGACGGCGCGAGCAGGUGCGAAAGCAGGUCAUAGUGAUCCGGUGGUUCUGAAUGGAAGGGCCAUCGCUCAACGGAUAAAAGGUACUCCGGGGAUAACAGGCUGAUACCGCCCAAGAGUUCAUAUCGACGGCGGUGUUUGGCACCUCGAUGUCGGCUCAUCACAUCCUGGGGCUGAAGUAGGUCCCAAGGGUAUGGCUGUUCGCCAUUUAAAGUGGUACGCGAGCUGGGUUUAGAACGUCGUGAGACAGUUCGGUCCCUAUCUGCCGUGGGCGCUGGAGAACUGAGGGGGGCUGCUCCUAGUACGAGAGGACCGGAGUGGACGCAUCACUGGUGUUCGGGUUGUCAUGCCAAUGGCACUGCCCGGUAGCUAAAUGCGGAAGAGAUAAGUGCUGAAAGCAUCUAAGCACGAAACUUGCCCCGAGAUGAGUUCU
rnacentral:rRNA from 1 species